rnacentral:rRNA from 1 species
CAGGCCUAACACAUGCAAGUCGAACGCCCCGCAAGGGGAGUGGCAGACGGGUGAGUUACACGUGGGAACGUACCCUUUGGUUCGGAACAACCCUGGGAAACUAGGGCUAAUACCGGAUACGCGCGAGAGCGGAAAGGUUUACCGCCGAAGGAUCGGCCCGCGUCUGAUUAGCUAGUUGGUGAGGUAACGGCUCACCAAGGCGACGAUCAGUAGCUGGUCUGAGAGGAUGAUCAGCCACAUUGGGACUGAAACACGGCCCAAACUCCUACGGGAGGCAGCAGUGGGGAAUAUUGGACAAUGGGCGCAAGCCUGAUCCAGCCAUGCCGCGUGAGUGAUGACGGCCCUAGGGUUGUAAAGCUCUUCUACCUGGGAAGAUAAUGACGGUACCAGGAGAAUAAGCCCCGGCUAACUUCGUGCCAGCAGCCGCGGUAAU